rnacentral:rRNA from 1 species
AGGGUUCGAUUAUGGCUCAGGAUGAACGCUGGCGGCGUGCUUAACACAUGCAAGUCGAACGAAGCAUUUAAGACAGAUUACUUCGGUUUGAAGUCUUUUAUGACUGAGUGGCGGACGGGUGAGUAACGCGUGGGUAACCUGCCUCAUACAGGGGGAUAGCAGCUGGAAACGGCUGGUAAUACCGCAUAAGCGCACAGUACCACAUGGUACAGUGUGAAAAACUCCGGUGGUAUGAGAUGGACCCGCGUCUGAUUAGCUAGUUGGCGGGGUAACGGCCCACCAAGGCGACGAUCAGUAGCCGACCUGAGAGGGUGACCGGCCACAUUGGGACUGAGACACGGCCCAG